UACGUAGGGUGCAAGCGUUGUCCGGAAUUAUUGGGCGUAAAGAGCUUGUAGGCGGUUUGUCGCGUCUGCUGUGAAAUUUCGGGGCUCAACCCCGAACUUGCAGUGGGUACGGGCAGACUAGAGUGUGGUAGGGGAGACUGGAAUUCCUGGUGUAGCGGUGAAAUGCGCAGAUAUCAGGAGGAACACCGGUGGCGAAGGCGGUCUGCUGGGCAGUUGCUGACACUGAGGCGCGACAGCGUGGGGAGCAAACAGG
rnacentral:rRNA from 1 species